rnacentral:rRNA from 1 species
AGAAUCAACGCUGGCGGCGUGCCUAACACAUGCAAGUCGAUCGAGAAAGUGGAGCAAUCCAUGAGUAAAGAGGCGCACGGGUGAGUAACACGUGACUAACCUACCUUCGAGUGGGGAAUAACCUGGGGAAACCCGGGCUAAUACCGCAUAAUACCUACGGGUCAAAGGAGCAAUUCGCUUGAAGAGGGGGUCGCGGCAGAUUAGUUAGUUGGCGGGGUAAUGGCCCACCAAGACGAUGAUCUGUAUCCGGCCUGAGAGGGCGCACGGACACACUGGAACUGAAACACGGUCCAGACUCCUACGGGAGGCAGCAGUGGGGAAUUUUGCGCAAUGGGGGAAACCCCGACGCAGCAACGCCGCGUGGAGGAUGAAGUCCCUUGGGACGUAAACUCCUUUCGACCGGGACGAUUAUGACGGUACCGGAUGAAGAAGCCCCGGCUAACUUCGCGCCAGCAGCCGC